AGAGGGGUCAGCCACCAUCCUGUUCCCUAGGUAACACUAGGGCUGACCUCUUAGUGUGUGUCUGUUGAGAUAACACCUAAAACAUAGUGGCUAAAGUAGUGCACUAUAAUAGGGAACAGGGAGCUGUUCGGGAGUGGGCUCACCUCUUAGUGUGUGUCUGUUGAGAUGCCAUGAUAAUGAUGAUAUGUAUGUAACAUGGUUUGUAAUAAGAUGUACAGUUUAAAGACCAUUUAUGAACAGAGCUGACUGACUGGCUGGUUUACUGCCUGUUACACAGAGGAACCGUGGACUCUAUAACAUGUCCUAUUGGUACACUGUUCCCUGUGCUGUGCACUUUGCUAGACCGGGGGGGGGGUAGCCCAAUGGGUCCUGGUCAAACCUAGUUCACUACAGGAAGCCAUUUUUGGUUGCAUGUGAGUGUGGGGGGGGUUUGUUCAGUGAAGCCCUGUUGUAAACCUGCUGUUCGACCAGGGGGUUUGUUCAGUGAAGCCCUGUUGUAAGCCUGCUGUUCGACCAGGGGGUUUGUUCAGUGAAGCCCUGUUGUAAGCCUGCUGUUCGACCAGGGGGUUUGUUCAGUGAAGCCCUGUUGUAAACCUGCUGUUCGACCAGGGGUUUGUUCAGUGAAGCCCUGUUGUAAACCUGCUGUUCGACCAGGGGGUUUGUUCAGUGAAGCCCUGUUGUAAACCUGCUGUUCGACCAGGGGGGUUUGUUCAGUGAAGCCCUGUUGUAUAAACCUGCUGUUUGACUGACAGGGUCUAUGUAUAAAGAACUGUGGACUGAUACAUAAUAGUAAUGAUCUGUUUAGGUUUUAGUUUAAACUGUAAAAAAAUGAACUGUUCCACAAAAAUGCUUCCGUUUUAAAAUAAUAUCUUCCUAAA